rnacentral:rRNA from 1 species
AACGAACGCUGGCGGCAUGCCUAACACAUGCAAGUCGAGCGCCCCGCAAGGGGAGCGGCAGACGGGUGAGUAACGCGUGGGAAUCUACCGAGCCCUAAGGAAUAGCUCCGGGAAACUGGAAUUAAUACCUUAUACGCCCUUUUGGGGAAAGAUUUAUCGGGGUUUGAUGAGCCCGCGUUGGAUUAGCUAGUUGGUGGGGUAAAGGCCUACCAAGGCGACGAUCCAUAGCUGGUCUGAGAGGAUGAUCAGCCACAUUGGGACUGAGACACGGCCCAAACUCCUACGGGAGGCAGCAGUGGGGAAUAUUGGACAAUGGGCGCAAGCCUGAUCCAGCCAUGCCGCGUGAGUGAUGAAGGCCCUAGGGUUGUAAAGCUCUUUCACCGGUGAAGAUAAUGACGGUAACCGGAGAAGAAGCCCCGGCUAACUUCGUGCCAGCCGCCGCCGUAA